rnacentral:miRNA from 1 species
UGUCUGUAACCAGGUUGCAAGU